rnacentral:lncRNA from 1 species
ACUUAGUCGGCUCUGAUGUAGAGCCAACUAUGGUGAUUCGUAGGCAGAGGUUAUCAUCAGAGCCUUCGUUGUCUUCCUCGGACAAUCUUUCUCCUAAAAGAAGGAAGAAGAGCUAGGUUGGCUACUUGGCUUGGCUGAUAAAUCUAAAUUAGCAAGUGAUGGCUCAUUGUAUCAAGCGGAGGGUUACGAGGGUGUAAAUGAAUCGAGUCGAGCUAAGUAUUGGGUUGUUCAGAUUUAGUUCAUGAAAUUUAUCGAAUUUGAAAUAAGAUUUGAUUGAUACUCGUUUAGCUACUGAGUCAAGUACGAUCUCGAAUCGAGAUCAAACAGUUUGAACUAUUCUAACGAAUAUGAUUCGAAUAUCAACAAAAAAUUAUAAUUUAAAAAGAUUCGAGUAAUUUAUCGAAUUUUAAAAUUUGUUCAUAUUUGAAUCGUUUAUAUUUCAAGUCGAGUUAAGGUCAAUUUUUAGUCGAGCAAAUUAUGAAUCAAAACCGAACCGUUUGGGAUCCUCUUUCAUUAUACUUAUUCUCCAAAUUUUUCGGAUACACAUUUAGUGUCACAAAUAUUAAUUUUAGCGAUGCUUUCAGC